rnacentral:rRNA from 1 species
CAGCCGCCGCGGUAAAACGGAGGGGGCUAGCGUUGUUCGGAAUUACUGGGCGUAAAGCGCACGUAGGCGGCUUGGUAAGUUAGAGGUGAAAGCCCGGAGCUCAACUCCGGAAUUGCCUUUAAGACUGCCGAGCUAGCAGGUGAGAGAGGUGAGUGGAAUUCCGAGUGUAGAGGUGAAAUUCGUAGAUAUUCGGAAGAACACCAGUGGCGAAGGCGGCUUACUGGCUCAUACUGGACGCUGAGGUGCGAAAGCGUGGGGAGCAAACAGGAUUAGAUACCCGUGUAGUCCCUGUCUCUUAUAC